GACGAACGCUGGCGGCGUGCCUAAUACAUGCAAGUCGAACGCAUUUUCUUUCACCGUAGCUUGCUACACCGAAAGAAAAUGAGUGGCGAACGGGUGAGUAACACGUGGGUAACCUGCCCAUCAGCGGGGGAUAACACUUGGAAACAGGUGCUAAUACCGCAUAAUUCCAUUUACCGCAUGGUAGAUGGAUGAAAGGCGCUUUUGCGUCACUGAUGGAUGGACCCGCGGUGCAUUAGCUAGUUGGUGGGGUAACGGCCUACCAAGGCUGCGAUGCAUAGCCGACCUGAGAGGGUGAUCGGCCACACUGGGACUGAGACACGGCCCGGACUCCUACGGGAGGCAGCAGUAGGGAAUCUUCGGCAAUGGACGCAAGUCUGACCGAGCAACGCCGCGUGAGUGAAGAAGGUUUUCGGAUCGUAAAACUCUGUUGUUAGAGAAGAACAAGGAUGAGAGUGGAAAGUUCAUCCCUUGACGGUAUCUAACCAGAAAGCCACGGCUAACUACGUG
rnacentral:rRNA from 1 species